AAGAAACAGACAAAGACAAACACAGAAUAAGAGACCAGAUGAAUAAUGAAAGUAAGAGGAAUAUCAGCAGAAAGAAAUCCAGGCAGAUUUGAUUACAGUGGUAGGGGGCCACUGCUAACAUGGGUGCACCCCAAGGAAAUGUGGCAUUGGGAAUAUUUUCAAAUAAACAAUCCCAACGCUAAUUUUUGCAAAUGUGUGUGGUUGAUUACAUAUGUGUACAGUUCACCUGGGGACUUCAUAAAACAUUUCUACUGUAUAUGUUUACAUAUACUAUACGUAUCCAGUUUACCACACACAGUAGAAAUAUUUUACGGAGUUAAUCUUAACUUUAUUUGACUGAGUCUUCCUCAUUACAUAUUGCCAGAGGGUUACUGAACUCAACAUAUGGGAGUCUUAAAUCAUCCAGGAUCUCAGGUCUGAUACCUGUCGUUCAAUGACGAUAGAUAGAACAUCUCAGGAAAUUCUAUUUUGGCUGCCCUGCCUGACGGAGACUUUGGCACAACGGUGGUAUAAAAUUCCUGUCCUUUCUUAUGAAAACUAGGCCGUGGAAAUAGAUAUAAAAUCAAAGAGCACAAAGAAAUUGGCUUCUUUGUUCAAAUAUUUUCUAAAAAUAUGUAAGUACAAAUCAACUAAAAAAAAUCUAGCUUUAAGGAUACUGCUAUUUAUUUUUCCUUUUUACUAUAUAUAUUAGAAAACUGUCAAUUCUAUAAGGAUCAAAACAUUUUGGAGCAUAAGGCUGGCUAGGCCUUAAGCAAGGCCUAAAUUCGUGUCUACCUCUUGUCCCUUGGAAAUGUCAUAUUUGAUGAUAUGAAAAAUCUUAGGCCAAAUGGAUGCUACAAUGUGUACAA